UACCGCAUACGACAUUUUAUGGCAUCAGAAGAAGUUAAAAGGCCCGUCUGGGUCGCUAGAAGAUGAGGAUGCGGCGUAUUAGCUAGUAGGUGAGGUAACUGCUCACCUAGGCGAUGAUACGUAGCCGAACUGAGAGGUUGAUCGGCCACAUUGGGACUGAGAUACGGCCCAGACUCCUACGGGAGGCAGCAGUAGGGAAUUUUUCACAAUGGGCGAAAGCCUGAUGAAGCAAUGCCGCGUGAGUGAUGACGGUCUUCGGAUUGUAAAGCUCUGUUAUAAGGGAAGAAAUGCUAGAAGAGGAAAUGCUUUUAGUUUGACGGUACCUUAUCAGAAAGCCACGGCUAACUAUGUGCCAGCAGCCGCGGUAAUACAUAGGUGGC
rnacentral:rRNA from 1 species